rnacentral:rRNA from 1 species
GAAUUCACUAGUGAUUUCUGGUUGAUCCUGCCAGACCCGACUGCUAUCAGAGUGGGACUAAGCCAUGCGAGUCAACGUAGUAAUACGUGGCAUACGGCUCAGUAACACGUAGUCAACAUGCCCAGGGGACGUGGAUAACCUCGGGAAACUGAGGAUAAACCGCGAUAGGCCAUAAUUCCUGGAAUGGUUUAUGACUGAAACCUACAUGGCCCCUGGAUUGGACUGCGGCCGAUCAGGCUGUUGGUGAGGUAAUGGCCCACCAAACCUGUAACCGGUACGGGCUCUGAGAGGAGAAGCCCGGAGAUGGGCACUGAGACAAGGGCCCAGGCCCUAAGGGGCGCAGCAGGCGCGAAACCCCUGCAAUAGGCGAAAGCCUGACAGGGUUACUCUGAGUGGUUCCCGCUAAGGGGAUCUUUUGGCACCUCUAAAAACGGUGCAGAAUAAGGGGUGGGCAAGCCUGGUGUCAGCCGCCGCGGUAAUACCAGCACCCCGAGUGGUCGGGACGAUUAUUGGGCCUAAAGCAUCCGUAGCCGGUCAUGCAAGUCUUCCGUUAAAUCCACCCGCUCAACGGUUGGGCUGCGGAGGAUACUACGUGGCUAGGAGGCGGGAGAGGCAAGCGGUACUCAGUGGGUAGGGGUAAAAUCCUUUGAUCCAUUGAAGACCACCAGUGGCGAAGGCGGCUUGCCAGAACGCGCUCGACGGUGAGGGAUGAAAGCUGGGGGAGCAAACCGGAUUAGAUACCCGGGUAGUCCCAGCUGUAAACGAUGCAGACUCGGUGAUGGGAUGGCCUCGAGCUAUCCCAGUGCCGCAGGGAAGCCGUUAAGUCUGCCGCCUGGGGAGUACGGUCGCAAGACUGAAACUUAAAGGAAUUGGCGGGGGAGCACCACAAGGGGUGAAGCCUGCGGUUCAAUUGGAUUCAACGCCGGAAAUCGAAUUCCCGCGGCC